AUUGAACGCUGGCGGCAGGCUUAACACAUGCAAGUCGAGCGGGGUGAUGGUGCUUGCACUAUCACUUAGCGGCGGACGGGUGAGUAAUGCUUAGGAAUUUGCCUAUUAGUGGGGGACAACAUCUCGAAAGGGAUGCUAAUACCGCAUACGUCCUACGGGAGAAAGCAGGGGAUCACUUGUGACCUUGCGCUAAUAGAUGAGCCUAAGUCGGAUUAGCUAGUUGGUGGGGUAAAGGCCUACCAAGGCGACGAUCUGUAGCGGGUCUGAGAGGAUGAUCCGCCACACUGGGACUGAGACACGGCCCAGACUCCUACGGGAGGCAGCAGUGGGGAAUAUUGGACAAUGGGGGGAACCCUGAUCCAGCCAUGCCGCGUGUGUGAGGAAGGCCUUAUGGUUGUAAAGCACUUUAAGCGAGGAGGAGGCUCUUUUGGUUAAUACCCAAGAUAAGUGGACGUUACUCGCAGAAUAAGCACCGGCUAACUCUGUGCCAGCAGCCGCGGUAA
rnacentral:rRNA from 1 species